CGCGGGGUGGAGAAAUGGCAUCUUGCAGGGCUCAUAACCCUGAGUUCCGGGUUCGAAUCCCGGCCCCGCAACUA
rnacentral:tRNA from 6 species